GUCCCCUCUGUACGAGCCUUGAAUGUAAAAUUGCAGCUUCACUUAAAAGGGCCCUUUACUGAAGCACCACAUGGCAUCUGUUCACAGAUUGACAAGGACCCUGAGACAUACCACACAGCUUAUACACAUGAAAGAGAAACCUCAAGUGUGUUGGAAGUGGCAUAAAGAACGCCUGUGUGCCAAGAUUAUGCCGGUUACAGAAAACAAGACAAUGAACGACACGCUCAUCUAAACAUCAAACAUUCACAGUGAAAGGAAGGAGAGACUUUUUCCCCUUACUAAUAACC